CUUGUUUUUUCACGUGUAGAAUACAGAUCAACUCCCUGUUUCCUUGAUGAAUUUGAGGUCAUUCCGUAAGUGAAAAAAUCAACAAGUGAAUAAAUACAGACAGAGAGCUGCUCCUUGCCAAUGUUCCACUCAGGUUCCCAUCCAGCCAACCUUCAUUCAUUCAAUAGCAGUUGAGCUCCUCACAGAGACUUUGUGUCAUGUUGUGAAUGCAACAUGUUCGACAGCAUUCCUGCCGAGGAAAUAUCUCCUACGAUGGGUAAGCAAAUAUCAUCUUUCAUUAAAAAACAUCAGAAAAAUUUCAUCUGAAACUUCUGAACAGCCAGGGGGAGGAACACUCCUAAUGA
rnacentral:lncRNA from 1 species